rnacentral:rRNA from 1 species
GCAUAUCAAUAAGCGGAGGAAAAGAAACCAACCGGGAUUGCCUCAGUAACGGCGAAGUGAAGCGGCAAGAAGCUCCAAAUUUGAAAUCUGGCCCCCUCGGGGUCCGAGUUGUAAUUUGCAGAGGAUGCUUCGGGUGCGGUCCCCAUCUAAGUGCCCUGGAACGGGCCGUCAUAGAGGGUGAGAAUCCCGUCUGGGAUGGGCGGCCGCGCCCGUGUGAAGCUCCUUCGACGAGUCGAGUUGUUUGGGAAUGCAGCUCUAAGCGGGUGGUAAAUUUCAUCUAAAGCUAAAUACUGGCCGGAGACCGAUAGCGCACAAGUAGAGUGAUCGAAAGAUGAAAAGCACUUUGAAAAGAGAGUUAAACAGCACGUGAAAUUGUUGAAAGGGAAGCGUUGUCCACCAGACUCGCCCGGGGGGGUUCAGCCGGCACGUGUGCCGGUGUACUCCUCUCCGGGCGGGCCAGCAUCGGUUUGGGCGGCUGGUGAAAGGCCCCGGGAAUGUACCACCCUCCGGGGUGUCUUAUAGCCCGGGGUGCCAUACAGCCAGCCUGGACCGAGGCCCGCGCUUCGGCGAGGAUGCUGGCGUAAUGGUGGUCAACGGCCCGUCUUGAAACACGGACCAAGGAGUCUAACAUCUAUGCGAGUGUUCGGGUGUCAAACCCGUCCGCGCAGUGAAAGCGAACGGAGGUGGGAGCCCCUCGGGGCGCACCAUCGACCGAUCCUGAUGUCUUCGGAUGGAUUUGAGUAAGAGCAUAGCUGUUGGGACCCGAAAGAUGGUGAACUAUGCCUGAAUAGGGCGAAGCCAGAGGAAACUCUGGUGGAGGCUCGCAGCGGUUCUGACGUGCAAAUCGAUCGUCAAAUUUGGGUAUAGGGGCGAAAGACUAAUCGAACCAUCUGGUAGCUGGUUCCUGCCGAAG